AGCAGGUUCACUUCAGCUAUCACUGAAUUACUGUUAAUUAGCAUCAAUUAAUACAACCUAGGCCUGCAACCAGUUGUGAAGGUACACAAUGAGACUCUAUUGCCAACAUUUCAGGUGGAGGACGGUGUGCAGCCUCUCGGAGUGAUGGUGUCUGGACUCCUCCUCGUACGCCAGGUCUCUGUCGGGCUGCGGCAGCGCCAGGAACCUCCGGAUGGUGCACAGGUUCUCCCACAGGGUGCGGUUCUCUGGGCUGGGGUUCUCCUUCCACCGGAGCAGCUCACACAGCCAACCCUGGAGACGAGACGGAGACAGAGAAAGAAGUGAUUCCCUCACCUGGCUCUUGUUGGCGGCGACUUUAGCGAACAGCGCUUGGGACACCUUGGCUCUCUUCAUCUCCUGCUGAAUUUCGUCGUAGAUGCCUGACGUAAUGUUGACCAGCGACUCCAGCUUCAGCGAGAGGUCGGGGACCGGGCCGCACGGCUUUGGCUGGAACAGAGGAUAAACACGGUGAUGUAACGCACAGUAUUAAAGGGACUCUGAAUGGU